rnacentral:rRNA from 1 species
AUUGAACGCUGGCGGCAGGCCUAACACAUGCAAGUCGAGCGGAUGACGGGAGCUUGCUCCUUGAUUCAGCGGCGGACGGGUGAGUAAUGCCUAGGAAUCUGCCUGGUAGUGGGGGACAACGUUUCGAAAGGAACGCUAAUACCGCAUACGUCCUACGGGAGAAAGCAGGGGACCUUCGGGCCUUGCGCUAUCAGAUGAGCCUAGGUCGGAUUAGCUAGUUGGUGGGGUAAUGGCUCACCAAGGCGACGAUCCGUAACUGGUCUGAGAGGAUGAUCAGUCACACGGGAACUGAGACACGGUCCAGACUCCGACGGGAGGCAGCAGUGGGGAAUAUGGACAAUGGGCGAAAGCCUGAUCCAGCCAUGCCGCGUGUGUGAAGAAGGUCUUCGGAUUGUAAAGCACUUUAAGUUGGGAGGAAGGGCAGUAAGCUAAUACCUUGCUGUUUUGACGUUACCGACAGAAUAAGCACCGGCUAACUCUGUGCCAGCCGCCGCCGUAA